GAAGGUAUAGCUCAGUGGUAGAAUGCAUGCCUAGCAUGCACAAGGUCCUGGGUUCAAUCCCCAGUUCCUCA
rnacentral:tRNA from 1 species